GGACACCCAGGGGGUGGAGCCUGCGGUUUAAUCGGACUCAACGCCGGGAAACUCACCGGAUAAGACAGCUGAAUGAUUGCCGGGCUGAAGACUCUGCAUGACUAGCUGAGAGGAGGUGCAUGCCGUCGUCAGUUCGUACUGUGAAGCAUCCUGUUAAGUCAGGCAACGAGCGAGACCCACGCCAACAGUUGCUAGCUCGUCCUCCGGGAUGGAGAGGACACUGUUGGGACCGCCUCUGCUAAAGAGGAGGAAGGAGCGGGCGACGGUAGGUCAGUAUGCCCCGAAUUCUCCGGGCUACACGCGGGCUACAAUGGAUGGGACAAUGGGUUCCGACACCGAAAGGUGAAGGCAAUCUCUUAAACCCAUUCUUAGUUCGGAUUGAGGGCUGAAACUCGCCCUCAUGAAGCUGGAAUCCGUAGUAAUCGCGUUUCAACAUAGCGCGGUGAAUACGUCCCUGCUCCUUGCACACACCGCCGUCAAACCACCCGAGUGGGGUUUAUGUGAGGGCGUGGUUUUUGCCACGUUCGAACAUAGGUUCCGCAAGGGGGGUU
rnacentral:rRNA from 1 species